UAUAAGGGAAAGGUGAAUCAUCGAAUCUUUGAACGCACAUUGCGCCCCUUGGUAUUCCAUGGGGCAUGCCUGUUCGAGCGUCAUUUGUACCCUCAAGCUCUGCUUGGUGUUGGGUGUUUGUCCUCUCCUUUGCGAUUGGACUCGCCUUAAAAUAAUUGGCAGCCAGUGUUUUGGUAUUGAAGCGCAGCACAAUUUGCGAUUCUAUCCGGUAAUACUGGCGUCCAUAAGCCUAUUUUACACUUUUGACCUCGGAUCAGGUAGGGAUACCCGCUGAACUUAAGCAUAUCAAUAAGCGGAGGA
rnacentral:misc_RNA from 1 species